AAACUGAACAGGCAAUGAACUUCACACGAAGUCAUGGUGCCGGGCCGAAUUUUCGGCAGCAGAUGAAAGAGCGGACAUCUGUGGGACAGU
rnacentral:ncRNA from 1 species